CAUCAAAAAAAGGAAGUGUUAACAGAGAAUCUGCUUUACAAAAUCUGAGACACAAAAUUGAAACAAGAAAAACAGGAACAAAGGGAGCCCCAAAACACCUUCAGUCAUGUUUGGCUGCCACACAACUAGAUGCAAUGGCAAUAAUAACUCUGCACAAAAAAACUCCAGAAGACUUGAAAUUGGGUGGCUUCAUUUAAAAAAAAGUGCUGCAGACUUUGAGGAUGUAGAUUACACAAUACCAGGGCCUUCUACAAGUUCAACACCAGCUGAAGGAAGAAGUUAUGCAGUCCACCACACCACCCAGGGCUUUCAAGAUGCUGAUGCAAUGCACAUUUCAUCCCAUGCCAAAGAAUUUCUGAAUGUAAUUGGUGUGAUGCAGUCCUCAAGUGAGCUCCAGGACACAGCUACAGGCUAUGAAAUACAUGGGUUCUCCAUUCAGGCACAAGAAAAGUCACAUGAAAUUAUUGUAAUACAGGAAGACUCAGAAACUAACAUAGGAAAACAUCAUUCCGAUAGUGCUGAUCUUGAUUCGACAAUUGAAUGGAAUUUGGAGUAUAAUGACGUUGAUCUUACACAGGAUGCAGAGCCAAAUGACGUUUCUGAUGUGGCAACAGCUGCUGGACAUGACCUUCUGUUUCAUUGGCUAUGUUCACAGGGCUUGAGACUGAGGCAGGUUGAAAUGAUGGCAGAUGGCGUUGAGGGGAGCUCUGCUACCUUAUCAAAGAUGGCAAAGAAAAUAAGAGAAGUUUGUGUCACAGCAAUGGAAAAACUGAGAAGACGAAAAAGGCCAGCGUCUUGGAGGACCAAGAGAGUUUGUUGUGAUUGAUGAGAGUCAUUUUAGACAUAAAAGAAAGGUAUGUAUUGUUCUGAACAUAAAUAAUCUGAAAAGUCAAG
rnacentral:lncRNA from 1 species